UCCGCCAUGGUGUAGUGGCUAGCAUUGGUCGCUUUCAUCACAUUCAAUUGUGAAGUUCCGACUAGACCCGGGUUCAAUUCCCGGUGGCGGAA